ensembl:miRNA
UAAUUUAAAAUGUGUUGGCCAGAAAGUUCAUUCAGGUCCUUCCCUAACAUCUUACAGAAAACCUGAAUGAACUUUUUGGCCAACAACAUUUAAUUG